rnacentral:lncRNA from 1 species
UGCGCUGCUUCCGGAGGAGCGGCGAGACCCAGGCAAAGACUUGCGUCACCUUUACCCCCGCAAAAUCAAGUGCCUUAUAUUGUCAUUUCAUUGUCGUUCCAGCGCCUUUUCAGAAAGAAAAAGAGAGAAAGAAAAAAAAAGAGAGAAAAGAAAACAUGGUUCUAACUAAAGAUUUUUUUUAAACCGGUUUUAUGGGGCCUCUCGCUUAUGCCAUAAUCCAUUUUGUCCCUGGGACGCUUUUCGUCCAAAGACACAGGGUCACCUUGGCGCGCCCCCAACCCCCAGCGUCAGGCGCCAGUCGCCGGGUCCGGACGGCUUGUCCCCCUACUCUCAGCGACCUUCAGUCUAGCGCAGGCCAGAGUCCCCACAGGCAAAGAGUUCUCUUUUCCUUCGUUGCUCCCUUCUUACCUCCCUUCCUUCCUUCUGAUCUUAUUCCUUCUUCUCUCUCCCUCUCUUCCUUCCUUUUGUUUCUUUCCUCUUUUCCUUCCCUCCUUUUAUUUUUAAUUCUCAAAAAAAAAAUCCAACAUAUUCUAGAAAUGUCAGGUGGUGGCGGAAGCGCGAAGGUCGCCCCAACUCCCUGUCCCGGCUCCCCGCCCCCCCCCCUUCCCCGCGUGUGGCUUGGGGUAAAGACCACGCAGACCCAACGCCGAGGUCCCCAAGGCGGUGGGAAUCACGUCCCAGGGUGCGCGGGACCCGGCGGCCCCUCUCCCGGCGCUGCCCGGGGCCGACCCCUCGCGCCGCCGGCGGCCGCCAGCACGGCGCGGAGGUGGGCUCACUGCAGCGGCGCACGAAAGGUCACCGCGGUGGCAUUCCUCUCCGCGCGCUGUUUACGUGACUUAAUGUACUUCAUACGCCGCGGGUAAGUUAGGGCCGCGAUAAGGGGGCGACCGGGGGAGGGUCGCUAUAAAAGCCCCACGCUGGGCGCCGCUCGCCCACCCCGCAUCCAUUAACCUUUUUACUUUCUUCUUCCCCUCUCCCUUAAAGCUUGUUAUCUAGGCCACCCAAUGACCGACGAAAGAUCUUCCCUCCCUGCUUCUCCCGUGGCCGCUUAAACCAAAUAAAUUUAGCUAUUAAGGGCCAAGAUGUCUGACAAAAGAUCGAAAGGUGUCUUUCUGUGAUCGCUUAAAGAAGCGAAGGAGAAGCUUGCAGCUCUCAAAGUCCGAUAAAGAAAUUCCACACCGGCGCCGGCCUCCCUCCCCGCGGCCUGCUUGAGUCCAGAGACCCUGCGAUCCCGACUUCGGCGACCGCAGAGCUCGGGUAGGCCCAGGGGGACUAGUGGCCGCUGGAGGAGGGGGAGUGGAGACGCCCGGGCCACCUCGAUCAGGAAUGCCAGGACUUGGGGGCGGGACGGACAUUGGGGUCCCCUGGGAGCUGCGGACUCCAGGUCCGAGCUGGGGUUGUUGAAUCAAACGUCCUCCCCUCCUGCAUUUGGCUGAAAAACUAAAGCGAGGUUAUCGGGCCCUAAAUUACUGUCCUAUUUUGAUUAUGUUCCAAAAUUAAGUAAAGACAAAGCCAGAGCACCCCCUAAGUCCCCAUCCCACUCCCUGGGGUUCUGCGUAGGAGCACUAUGGUGCCCCGCAUCUCGCGGUGGUGGUGGUGGUGGUGAAUAGAUUGUCCUUUGAACCCCACGCAGGACCUUGUGGGUGGAACUGGGCAGUUGGAUUCGCCGGAGACUAAGGGUGUGGACUCGCAGGCUAACAGCGUGCAGGUGGGAGGCAGAGGUCCAAUCAUUCAGUCAUGCUCAGGUUGGGUUUGGUUAUGAAGUGUGGUAUUUAUUAUCAUUAUUAAUUACCACUGGCAUGGCUACAUAAAGCCUGGGGCUGCCAGCUGGGUGGAGGCCCUGCUCCUGGAGCAAUGGCUUUCCUCACCAAAGGGAGGGAAUAUCCAGUUAAGUUUCCUGAUUCAAGGACUCUGAAAGUGGACUUGGGGGAUCAGAUUCCAGUAUUUUUGAUAUUUUCUCCUCCCUUUCUGUAGAUGGAGAAUUCCCCCAUACUCCAGGCCACUAAAAGCAGAAGCCUAUUCUGCCUCCUUGAAAUAGGACAGAUGAGAAGUUAGGGGAGCAUGGAGGUGCAGCUGAGACCCCUUGGGGUCCCUGCCAGUGACUCCUUCCCACUCCUCUACUCUCCAAAACAGUUCUCUGGAAAAUGUUGGAGACAGGACUUUUAAUUCCAAAAGGCAAUCCAGGAUGUCUGUCACCUCAUGCUGAGACAGGAAGUUAAAGAUGCCCCUCUUCUCUCCUGGUCCCCUCCAAAUAAGGUGAACUCCACAAUCAUCCCCUUUAUCUAAUCUGUACCCCUAAUACAGCUUCUAGGGAUGGGAACAAUCAGGGCAUCAGAAGAAAAAGUACCAUUUAUAUUCCUAAGAAGGUGAAAGAGACAGAAAUUCCCAACACCCUAGGCAGGUAGGAACUGGGCCCUUCUUGGAAUUUGCUACAGUCAUGCCAAGUCUAAGGUCAGGGUCCAGCUACCACUGCCCCAGAGCUCUUGGCUCAGAGAUCUUCCUUGCCAUUUGGUAGUGUUUUUGUUUUCAUUUUUGUUUUCAAAGAAGCAGCAGUAAUUGCUAAAGAGAAGCAGAAAAGUAGAGGAAAUGAGCUUUUGGAGAUUUGUUACAUUGCAUAUACCCCUCUUUGAGUUGAUCUUAGAAGGAAAAAGUACCCAAGAAAUUCUUAAAAGUUGCUACAUUGGACACUCAGAAAUAUGACCUCUCUUUUCAGCUAUGUUGCAAAUAUGCAGAGAAUUAGGACUGAAGACUUGUCUACCAUUAUAAAGGCCCCCAGCUUCCUGCCACUUGCCUGACAUUCACUGAGUAUGCAUUGCAUGAAGAAAAAAAAUAAGAGGUAGGUCCUAGUUUUGAAGUGUUUACAGUCUAGAAGGUUGGCACCUCUAUAAAGCCUAUUAGGCAAAGUUCCACAGACAGCUUCCAAGAUGGAAGGCUAGAAAAACACUCGAGUACUGAUUUUUUUCUAGGCUUCAUGGUGGUUUUGAAAAGAUGGCAUUCACUCUGGCUCAUGUAUUGAUGAAAUUUCUAGGUGCCACUGGAUCAGCACAGGACUCUGGGCCAGCCUACCUGGGUUUGAAUGUUACCACUUGCUUUGUGAUCAAUUCAAGUUGCCUAAUUUUUUGUACCACAGUUUCCUCCUCUGUAAAAUGAGGAUAAUUAAAGUACCUCUUUCACAGGAUUGUUGACAAGAUUUAAAAAAAAAAAAAUGUCUUCAAUGGAAGGCACUCACAGUACCUGGCACAUAGUAAACACUGUAUUAGUGGGAUCUGUUAUGACUAAUAGACUUGCAUGCUAUGCCCAAUGCAAUGUCACGUAUAACCUAACUGUUCCCUGAGUUAAAAUAGUUCCUGGGAAAGAACUUCUUCGAGUGCCUAUUUAAUUUUGGGACCCACCAUCCACGAGACUUUAAGCCUCCUCUGAGUAGCAGUAGUGAAGGUUUCAUUUAUUACAUUCUGGUAGGAAAGCACAGGGGUGGGGGCAUAAGUCCUUUACUUGUUUUUGCUUCCUUUGAAGAGGAAACAAGGAAACAUUCCUUGCUGUUUCUGGCAAAUACCAGCAGCAGACUCCAGUGUCUUCCAUAGGACAAAGAUAGUAAUCUUGAGGCUUCUUCUUGCUCCAACAGAAGAAUCCCAGCCCUCUGCAGUACCUUCACUGGGAGUAGAUAGGAUGGAAUUAACUGAAAGUCAUUAAGGAGGGCAGCCUUGAUGACUAGCAUUUGACAUUAGGGGGAAAAAAGAAGAAAAAGAACUAAGUAAAUUGAUCUGAUCCUAACUUAUUUAUUUAAUUUAUUGUUUGGUGCUGGUGAUUGAACCCAGGGCCUUUUCCAUACUAGGCAAAUGUUCUACCACGAAGCUACACCCUCUGAGCCAGAACACAUUAUUGAUAGGGAAAAAUCUAGACCACUUCAGAUAUUUUCCAUCUUAUUUUUCUUUCUGGUUUCUUCCUCCUCUCCUUCUACUUUGUCUUCUAAAACAAGAUCUAAACCUCAACAAUGAAUACUUUAAAAGAGAAAUCUGUGAAACAUAACAAAGAAUACUGUUUCUCUAGAAAAAACGACAGAGAAAGAGAUUUGUUUUCCAGAAAGCAAAAUCUGGAGGGAACAUAAAAGUCUUCUCCCCGCUGUAGAUUUCCAGCCGGGUUUGUGCACAGAGCCUGUUUUUCUCUCUUUGACAGUCUUGAUCUUCUCUACGUUUGAUUUACAGAGUGCUGUCAUUUCUCUGCUCUUUACUUUCACAAUCACACAUUCAAACCUGAUAAAGUUCAAGACCUUGAAUACUUGCAGCUCUCCCAGAGUCACAGUCCUCCUGCCCCCCACCCUGGCCAGCCGGCCCCUGAGGCUGAUUGAAUCCUCAUGGACAGAAGCCACUGGGGAUCAGCAAAGAGCCAGCCGGUCCAGGAGGGUCAUGCUCAUGGGACAGGAAGCCUGAGCUCCUAUUUGCUGUUCUCCACAGCAAACCUUGGUAGCUUCCUUCCCCUAGGCAGAUUGUCAGCAUCUAGUUUAUAACCUACCUGUGGGCAAAUACAAGAACUGUAACUUGCAACAUUUACAAAUGUUUAAAAUCAAGUGCAAAAUCAGGGCCUGCAUGAGUGCUGGAUUUUGCUGGAUCUACCAAACCGCCUGUGAUCUAGGGCAAGGCACUUAACCUCUUGUGCCUCAGUUGCUCCAUCCAUAAAAUGGCAGAAAUAUUACUUUCUGCAAACAUUCAUCACAAACUAAUGACUCGGGUGCUCCUUCCCAUACUCUGUCCUCUGUCAGGGUUUCAGGAAGACCAUGUGCAUCUAUCUGAUCUGGCUCUUUGGUUUCUGUCAGGUUAAAUACAAACUUAGUCAUUAAUCUAAAUACUCUACCAGUGGGCCAAACAAAUGGAAUGAUUCAUCUCCAAAGGCCGAACAGUUAACUUAGACUCACGUUUUCAAGCCACUGAAAUAUCUCCUGAUGGAAAAUGCUAUCUUAAAUAAUUUAUCCUGUGCUUGUACAUAUAGAAAUACACUAAAUCACAUUACACUGACCAAAAGCCACCACCAAGGAUGGACAACUUUAUUCUCAAUAUGGAUCCUAUAUGAGAACUUCAUAUUUACUAAGUAAGUCAUUCUUUUGCAUGAGUUGACAUUUGCAUGUAUCUUGAAGUAUUAGAAUUUUCCGGUCUGUAGCUCAGUGGUAGAAUGCAUGUUUAGCACAUGCAAGGCCCUGAGUUCAAUCCCCAGAACCACCAAAAGAAGGAGAAGAAUUUUCUGAUUAAGGUAGACACCUUAAGUAGUAGCAUUUAUCUCUCUGUGUGUGUGUGUAUGUGUGUGUGUGUGAGAGAGAGAGAGAGAGAGAGAGAUAUCACUGUUUCAAGUCUGUAAAUUUAAAAAAAAAUUACAAUCUCCUCUUAAGAUGUUAACUGUCAUAAUAUCUAAGGGAACAAGUAUAUUAAUCAGGGAAGGAAGCAGUUGUCACCUGUUCCACAAGGCAUUUUUUUUUAAACCUGUCUGGUCAGGAGAUGCUCAUUAGAAUAUAUUACAAAGUUACCUUUUCCUGAUCAUAAUAUUAUUCAUUUCUACCUAAGCAAAUAAUAUCCAAUAACUUUUUCUGGCUACUUCUAAGCUAGAUUACUACUCUGUUUAUACUACCACAAAUUAAAGGCAUGCAAUUAUCCAACAAAAACAGUGUGAAUAUUCCAUCCUUUUAAAAGACUGACCACCUUGGAGCUUGGGCCCAGCAAAGUCCAGCCAAAAACCACCCUGUGGAUACACUAGUAAAGCUGUCCACCUUUCCAUUUCAAAGGCAUCUUUCUGUCAGAGCUCAACAUUCUGAUUGGGGGCGUGGCUCAGUGGUGCUGGGUUCCAUCCCCAGCACCACAAAAAACAAAACAAACCAAAAAAACCCUCAACAUUCUCUGGCAUCAAUGAAAUAGGCAGCCUGCAGGCAUGAGUUCAAAUCUCAGCCAUGCAUCUCCCUGUCCCUCUUUAGUUUAUGCAACCUUAUGCAAAUCCUUAAUCUCCCUACUUCUCAUUUUCCUCAUCUGUAAAAAAGAGGGUGGUAGUAACAGUAGCUGAUUCAUAGGAUUGGCAGGCCAUUUGAAGUAUUUGAUAGGUAAAAACAUAAAUUUCUUUUCUUCUUUUUCUUGUUUUUGGUUUUGGGGUUUUUUUUUGGGGGGGGGUGUACCUGGGAUUGAACCCAGAGGCACCUAACCACCCGAGCCACAUCCCUAGCCCUUUUCAUUUUUUGAAUUUUGAGACCAGGCUUGCUUAGUUGCUUAGGGCCUCUCUAAAUUGCUGAGGCUGUGUUUGAACUUGAGAUCCUCCUGCCUCAGCCUCCCAGACCACUGGGAUUAUAGGCAUGUGACACCACACCCAGCAAAAACAUGAACUUCUAUUUCAGGUCAUUUGUUAAGGAGAGGGAAGUAAGGAGAAUAGGGAAGGCAUCAAGGGUUCAAAACUGUGAGGUAGGAAGGUGGUCCUGAGAAUUGCCAAUGAGGAAGGAAAUUAUCCCUGAGUACAUUCACUAGAAGAUGGGCCUCAAGGAUGAAAACCUUUUCCAACAAAGAGAUCACUGUUGGGUAGUACGAGGGCCAAGUAAUGACUGAAUCUCUCAAAGCAAAUGAAAGUGAGAUUUUAGGCAUUAAAGUGGACCCAAAACUAAUAAAACUAGUACAGAAUACUAGAGUGUAAGCUCUACAAAGCUGGAAUUUUUCUUUUCUUUUUGGUACUGAGUUUCUUAGGGCCUCAUUCACAUAUGUGAAGACUCAUGCAUGGCCAUGAGAACUCAUGGAACAUUCUCCGUAAACUUGCCCCUCACUUCUCUGACCUAGAAACAUCACCAGCCUCCUGGAUGUGCCAUCAGCUAUGGUUUGGGUGUGUAUCGAAAUUUACCUGUUGGAAACUUGAUCCCAAAAUGCAUAUGUUGAUGAGUUUCAGAGGUGGGGCUUUGAGGGGUAAUUAGGAUUCCAUGAGCUCAUGCAAAAGAGAACAGAGCUAGCGGCUGGCUCUUGUCUGGACAUGUGACAACCUUGUGUCAGAUGUCAUCUGCAGGGUCCCUUAGCAGAUGCAAGCCUGAGUUCUUAGACCUCGCAGCCUCCAGAACCCUGAGCCAGACAAACUUUUAUUCAUUAAAAAGUAUUUCAUCUCCAGCAUUCAGUUAUAGCCACAGAAAACAAACGAAGACUGCCACUAAUAGUAAUUCUCACUUACCAGCAGCCCUGCUCUGCACACCCAGGCCAUUGACAAAUCAAUCCCAAGCCACUGUUGCUUACUUUUGUUUACCUUACUUUUGUUUAUCUCUCCAGUCCCUGGCCAUCUCUUCCCUGGACUAUGCAGGCCUCCCAGAAAGCAGAGAUUUGAGUGCAGGAUCCUGAUGUUGGAGCAGCAAGUAAAUCUACCUGGCAUUCAGACUUGACUGAUGAGUCAUCACCUCUACUUUGGAAGUCCCUCUCUCUAUCUCCUGAGGCCUGAUUCUCACCCCAAUCCUCCUCACUGUCCCACCUGUUCAUUCAUUUGUUCGUUCUUUCUUUUUCAUGUAGGGGUGAGGGUGCUGCAAUUUCAACCCAGGCACAUGUUAGGCAAAUGCUCAACCACUGAGCUACCUUCUGGGCCCUUCUUUUCUUUUCUUUUCUUUUUUUUUUUUUUUCCUUAUUUUAUUUUGAGACAGGUUCUCACUGAGUGGAGUUGCUGAAGCUGGCCUCCAACUUGCAAUCCUCCUACCUAAGCCUCCUGAGCUGCUGAGAUUACAGGCGUACACCACCAUGCCUGACUCUGUUUCUCAAACUGUGGGAUAGAAUUUAGAUGUGAUGGCAGGUACUGAAGCAGUCAUGUACUACGAGGGGACAACAGCCACAUGUUGCACCAAAUGACAGCAAAAUAGAGAGUUUCGGUCUCAGAGACCAUGGAGCUUUAGAAGAGGAUCACUUUGUCUCAGAUCAAAAUAAUUGUUAUCAAAACAAGUUGGAAGUCAUUUCUGUCUCAUGUAACAGCCUGAAACUAUAUUAAUAAAUAUGAAUAUAUAUAUGAGUCUAUCUGACUAUGAUGUGUGGUCUAUGAUACUGAAACAAAGUGUAGCCAUC